rfam:TPA: Bos taurus chromosome 24, whole genome shotgun sequence.
UCCCUGGUGGCUCAGUUGGUAAAGAAUCCACCUGCAAUGUGGGAGACCUGGGUUCGAUCCCUGGGUUGGGAA